AUUGAACGCUGGCGGCAGGCCUAACACAUGCAAGUCGAACGGUAACAGGAAGAAGCUUGCUUCUUUGCUGACGCGUGGCGGACGGGUGUGUCAUGUCUGGGAAACUGCCUGAUGGAGGGGGAUAACUACUGGAAACGGUAGCUAAUACCGCAUAACGUCGCAAGCCCAAAAAGGGGGACUUUCGGGCCUCUUGCCAUCGGCUGUGCCCUGAUGGGAUUAGCUAGUAGGUGGGGUAACGGCUCACCUAGGCGACGAUCCCUAGCUGGUCUGAGAGGAUGACCAGCCACACUGGAACUGAGACACGGUCCAGACUCCUACGGGAGGCAGCAGUGGGGAAUAUUGCACAAUGGGCGAAAGCCUGAUGCAGCAAAGCCGCGUGUAUAAAGAAGGCCUUCGGGUUGUAAAGUACUGUCAGCGGGGAAGAAGGGAGUAAAGUUAAUACCUUUGCACAUUGACGUUACCCGCAGAAGAAGCAACGGCUAACUCCGUG
rnacentral:rRNA from 1 species